rnacentral:tRNA from 1 species
GGGGUUGUGGCUCAGUGGUAGAGUACUUGCCUAGCAUGCGUGAGGCACUGGGUUCGAUCCCUGGCACCA